GCACGCCGGCCUCGACGAGCGCGCGGACGGCCUCUGCAUGGUUGCGGCCGCACAGGACGUGCGGGUCGGUACGCAGCCAGCGCGGAAGGCGCCUGGUGCGGUGGAGGGCCUCGCGGUCGUGAACGACAAAGCGGCUGUGGGCGGCGCGCGCCGCGCAAAAGGUGGCGUCGUCGACAAAGUCGAGGAUGUGCACGACAAUCUCUGGCGGGAGCGCUAUGAUCGAUGCCGCUGCUUUGACCAAGUCGGGCGACGUCGUCUCCAUGAGCGCACGCAGCCGAUUUCCUCUGUCUUUUUAUUUUUUGGCUUUUUCUUUUCUAUGGAGGGCUCGGCUGCGCGCCCGACCGAUGUAUAAAAAAAAGAGCAGAAAGCGAGCGCGAGAGGAUGACACUUGUUCUUGUCGUGGCGAGCGCGCGAGGACGACGGCUUGCCGCGGAUACGAUGGCGCGCUCCGCGAAAAAAGACGGGCCGACGAGAGCGACACCAGCGCGCGCGAGAGAGCCACACGAGGCCCUGCAUGAAACCCUUUCCCGUUUCUUUCCAUUUACUUUUUUCACCAAAAAAAGACCGCCGCGCGUUGGUCCGCCCCAGGACACGCGCCACACGAGCGCAGGCCCGUCCACCUUUCGCAGUGUCGCCUGAUUUUGCUUUCGGGGAUUUUCUGAGAGACGAGGGCAGGGGCGCCGCGGGCCAACCGUAACAAG
rnacentral:lncRNA from 1 species